rnacentral:lncRNA from 1 species
UCAAAAAGGGUAUGAGAAGGUACGGCUCCCUUUAAAUCAUUACAAAUAUACUUUUUGUUUGAAGGGAAAAUAGAUUUUUUUGCCACUCAACUUAUAGCGUUUUUAGAAAUCUACCAUCCAACUAUUUUUUUUCUUCUUUUAGUCACUAAUGUUAGGUUUGGUUUUAUUUUUAGCCACCAACUUAGGUUCGGAUUUGAAUACUAGCAUUAUGAUAAUUUUUUGUAGUAUCAUUUUUACAUGGUGAUAGUAUGUAAUAUUUUAUGGGAAAAUAGAUUUUUUUGCCACUCAACUUAUAGCGUUUUUAGAAAUCUACCAUCCAACUAUUUUUUUUCUUCUUUUAGUCACUAAUGUUAGGUUUGGUUUUAUUUUUAGCCACCAACUUAGGUUCGGAUUUGAAUACUAGCAUUAUGAUAAUUUUUUGUAGUAUCAUUUUUACAUGGUGAUAGUAUGUAAUAUUUUAAUGAUGUGUCGUAUGUUUAUAUCUUUAUAUAUAGCAAUAAUAAUAUAAAAUGAGCCGAUGAAAAAUUAAAAUCAGGAAAAAUCGUAAUUAGAUUCUAAAAAUUCAAUAAAUCAUGAAUAUGAAAUCAAUGACUUCAAACAAUUCACCCAAGAUAAAGGUGUAAUUGAGUGAUAUGACGCGUCAUCUUUCGCUAUUAAAGUUUCAAUCGACUAGCUCAGUCCAAGAUCUCUCUUAAAUUUAUCUUCAAAAGUUUUAAUAACUUUAUCUUAUUACAAUUUUCAAGAUAAAUAAAUAGAGAGGAAAACUUAAUUUUCAAUGAUUGUCCUCUCUAUAUAUAAUGCAUCAUUCCCUCUCAUUAGUUUAAAGUUUUUUCUACUACUUAGCACGUAUUUAAGACUCUUAUAAAAUAUAGUUUCAUAACUUAUUUUUGUGAUUUUUUUUGUGUGUAAAAAUUCAAACGCUGAAUUUUCAUUCGAAAGAAAAAAAAUAAAGUUAUAUAUGAAACUACACAUCUUUUAAAGGCCAUAAAAUACGUGUAAAAUUCUUAUCAUCUAAGGUAAACGAUCUUGGAGACAUAAAAAGUACUAUAUAUAAAGAUACAAACAUGUAUCAAAAUAUUACAGACUACCACUGUAUUUUAAUAAUGCUACACAUAAAAUGUCAUGCUAAUAAUUAAAUCCGAAACUAACUUCAGUGACUAAAUAAAAGCUGAAUAUAACACUAGUGAGUAAAAUAAAAAAAUUAUAGUGGAGUAGUUAGUUUCUAAAGACGUUAUAAGUUUCGUGACAAAAAAAAUUAUCAUAAUAUUAGUAAUCAAAUCCGAACCUAAGUUGGUGGCUAAAAAAAAAACCAAACCAAACAUUAGUGACUAAAAAAAAAAAAAACUAGUUAGGUGGUAAGUUUUUAAAAGCACAAUAAGUUGAGUGGCAAAAAAAUCUAUUUUCCCUUAUUUGAAAAACCACUCAACAUUUGCAUUUAUACAUUAGUGAUCAAAGCAACCCUCUCUUAUGACCGUGACUGACUCAAAAAUCGAUGAACCCAACUCCUUCUGAUCCUUUCAUUUCCCUCCUCUCUCUAUCAUCUCUCUCGGAGCCUCCUUUUUUUCUCUCUCCUUGUUAUCAUUCUCGAACUCCGCGACAACGUCGAUGAAGGAGAGAGCACGAGUGAGGCAAGUGUAGGGUCGGCGUGGCACCGGCGAAAAAAUGUGGCGACGAAGUCUAUACAUCAAUCUCUCUUGGUUGCUCAAUUGUUAAUAAUAAUUUGUGUGUUAAUCUUUGUAUAGGUCGUAAUUAUAAAUUUAUAGAGAGGAUGAGAGAGAGAAAUGAAAGAGAUAUAAGGAAGGAAGGGCUAGUCUCAUAUUGCAAAGAGAAUGUGUAUUUAAUU